GACGAACGCUGGCGGCGUGCUUAACACAUGCAAGUCUAACGGAAAGGCCCUGCUUUUGUGGGGUGCUCGAGUGGCGAACGGGUGAGUAACACGUGAGUAACCUGCCCUUGACUUUGGGAUAACUUCAGGAAACUGGGGCUAAUACCGGAUAGGAGCUCCUGCUGCAUGGUGGGGGUUGGAAAGUUUCGGCGGUUGGGGAUGGACUCGCGGCUUAUCAGCUUGUUGGUGGGGUAGUGGCUUACCAAGGCUUUGACGGGUAGCCGGCCUGAGGGGGUGACCGGCCACAUUGGGACUGAGAUACGGCCCAGACUCCUACGGGAGGCAGCAGUGGGGAAUAUUGCACAAUGGGCGGAAGCCUGAUGCAGCAACGCCGCGUGCGGGAUGACGGCCUUCGGGUUGUAAACCGCUUUCGCCUGUGACGAAGCGUGAGUGACGGUAAUGGGUAAAGAAGCACCGGCUAACUACGUGCCAGCAGCCGCGGUGAUACGUAGGGUGCGAGCGUUGUCCGGAUUUAUUGGGCGUAAAGGGCUCGUAGGUGGUUGAUCGCGUCGGAAGUGUAAUCUUGGGGCUUAACCCUGAGCGUGCUUUCGAUACGGGUUGACUUGAGGAAGGUAGGGGAGAAUGGAAUUCCUGGUGGAGCGGUGGAAUGCGCAGAUAUCAGGAGGAACACCAGUGGCGAAGGCGGUUCUCUGGGCCUUUCCUGACGCUGAGGAGCGAAAGCGUGGGGAGCGAACAGGCUUAGAUACCCUGGUAGUCCACGCUGUAAACGGUGGGUACUAGGUGUGGGGUCCAUUCCACGGGUUCCGUGCCGUAGCUAACGCUUUAAGUACCCCGCCUGGGGAGUACGGCCGCAAGGCUAAAACUCAAAGGAAUUGACGGGGCCCCGCACAAGCGGCGGAGCAUGCGGAUUAAUUCGAUGCAACGCGUAGAACCUUACCUGGGUUUGACAUGGAUCGGGAGUGCUCAGAGAUGGGUGUGCCUCUUUUGGGGUCGGUUCACAGGUGGUGCAUGGCUGUCGUCAGCUCGUGUCGUGAGAUGUUGGGUUAAGUCCCGCAACGAGCGCAACCCUUGUUCACUGUUGCCAGCACGUUAUGGUGGGGACUCAGUGGAGACCGCCGGGGUCAACUCGGAGGAAGGUGGGGAUGACGUCAAGUCAUCAUGCCCCUUAUGUCCAGGGCUUCACGCAUGCUACAAUGGCUGGUACAGAGAGUGGCGAGCCUGUGAGGGUGAGCGAAUCUCGGAAAGCCGGUCUCAGUUCGGAUUGGGGUCUGCAACUCGACCUCAUGAAGUCGGAGUCGCUAGUAAUCGCAGAUCAGCAACGCUGCGGUGAAUACGUUCCCGGGGCU
rnacentral:rRNA from 1 species